GAUUCUACACCUUCAUCUCCGGUGAAUUCUUCGUCGCCACCCCCUGAUUCUACCUUGGCGAUUCCUCCUUCUCUUGUUCCAUCUCUUCCUCAACAUUACACUCGUCGUUCACGACCUGUGGAUGCUUCCUUGGAUGAGUCGUCCUCUUCCUCUCAGCCUACUUAUGGCUUGCGUUCUCGUCCUCGUCCGCCUAUUGAUCGCUUUGGAUUUUCCACCGCUGGUGCUGCUGUUCUUGAGCCGACUUCUUACCGUCAGGCUAUUGUUCAUCCUGAAUGGCAGUUUGCGAUGGCAGAGGAGAUUGCUGCUCUUGAAUGCACUGGUACCUGGGAUCUUGUUUCUCUUCCUCCCGGAGUCCGUCCCAUCACUUGUAAGUGGGUCUACAAGGUUAAGACUCGCUCCGAUGGUUCUCUUGAGCGUCACAAAGCUCGUCUCGUGGCUCGUGGUUUUCAGCAGGAGCAUGGUCGUGAUUAUGACGAGACUUUUGCUCCUGUGGCCCAUAUGACCACUAUUUGUACACUUCUUGCCGUUGCCUCU
rnacentral:rRNA from 1 species